UACGUAGGGGCCAAGCGUUGUCCGGAUUUAUUGGGCGUAAAGAGCUCGUAGGCGGUUGGGUAAGUCGGGUGUGAAAACUCCAGGCUCAACUUGGAGAUGCCACCCGAUACUGCUCUGACUUGAGUUCGGUAGGGGAGUGGGGAAUUCCUGGUGUAGCGGUGAAAUGCGCAGAUAUCAGGAGGAACACCGGUGACGAAGGCGCCACUCUGGGCCGAAACUGACGCUGAGGAGCGAAAGCGUGGGUAGCAAACAGG
rnacentral:rRNA from 1 species